UGGGGAAUAUUGCACAAUGGGCGCAAGCCUGAUGCAGCCAUGCCGCGUGUGUUAAGAAGGCCUUCGGGUUGUAAAGCACUUUCAGCGGGGAGGAAGGCGAUAAGGUUAAUAACCUUGUCGAUUGACGUUACCCGCAUAAGAAGCACCGGCUAACUCCGUGCCAGCAGCCGCGGUAAUACGGAGGGUGCAAGCGUUAAUCGGAAUUACUGGGCGUAAAGCGCACGCAGGCGGUCUGUCAAGUCGGAUGUGAAAUCCCCGGGCUCAACCUGGGAACUUCAUUCGAAACUGGCAGGCUAGAGUCUUGUAGGGGGGGGUAGAAUUCCAGGUGUAGCGAUGAAAUGCGUAGAGAUCUGGAGGAAUACCGGUGGCGAAGGCGGCCCCCUGGACAAAGACUGACGCUCAGGUGCGAAAGCGUGGGGAGCAAACAGG
rnacentral:rRNA from 1 species